rnacentral:rRNA from 1 species
CCUACGGGAGGCAGCAGUGAGGAAUAUUGGUCAAUGGCCGAGAGGCUGAACCAGCCAAGUCGCGUGAGGGAAGACGGCCCUACGGGUUGUAAACCUCUUUUGUCGGGGAGCAAAGCGAGUCACGUGUGAAUCAUUGAGAGUACCCGAAGAAAAAGCAUCGGCUAACUCCGUCCCAGCAGCCGCGGUAAUACGGAGGAUGCGAGCGUUAUCCGGAUUUAUUUGGUUUAAGGGGUGCGCAGGCGGAGGUGCAAGUCAGCGGUCAAAUUGCGGGGCUCAACCCCGUACUGCCGUUGAAACUGCAUCCCUUGAGUGCGCGAGAGGUAUGCGGAAUGCGUGGUGUAGCGGUGAAAUGCAUAGAUAUCACGCAGAACUCCGAUUGCGAAGGCAGCAUACCGGCGCGCAACUGACGCUCAUGCACGAAAGCGUGGGUAUCGAACAGGAUUAGAUACCCGUGUAGUC